rnacentral:rRNA from 1 species
GAUGAACGCUGGCGGCGUGCCUAAUACAUGCAAGUCGAGCGAACAGAUGAGGAGCUUGCUCCUCUGACGUUAGCGGCGGACGGGUGAGUAACACGUGGAUAACCUACCUAUAAGACUGGGAUAACUUCGGGAAACCGGAGCUAAUACCGGAUAAUAUAUUGAACCGCAUGGUUCAAUAGUGAAAGACGGUUUUGCUGUCACUUAUAGAUGGAUCCGCGCCGCAUUAGCUAGUUGGUAAGGUAACGGCUUACCAAGGCAACGAUGCGUAGCCGACCUGAGAGGGUGAUCGGCGACACUGGAACGUAGCCACGGUCCAGACUACUACGGUAGGCAGCAGUAGGGAACCUUCCGCAAUGGGCGAAAGCAUGACGGAGCAACGCCGCGUGAGUGAUGAAGGUCUUCGGAUCGUAAAACUCUGUUUUUAGGGAAGAACAACUGUGUAAGUAACUAUGCCCGUCUUGACGGUACCUAAUCAGAAAGCCACGGCUAACUACGUG